CCUACGGGGGGCUGCAGUAAGGAAUAUUGGUCAAUGGACGAAAGUCUGAACCAGCCAUGCCGCGUGAAGGAUGAAGGCCCUCUGGGUUGUAAACUUCUUUUAUAGGGGACGAAAAAAGCUCAUUCUUGAGCACUUGACGGUACCCUAGGAAUAAGCACCGGCUAACUCCGUGCCAGCAGCCGCGGUAAUACGGAGGGUGCAAGCGUUAUCCGGAUUUACUGGGUUUAAAGGGUGCGUAGGUGGGCAGUUAAGUCAGCGGUGAAAUCUCCGGGCUUAACCCGGAAACUGCCAUUGAUACUAUCUGUCUUGAAUAUCCUGGAGGUGAGCGGAAUAUGUCAUGUAGCGGUGAAAUGCUUAGAUAUGACAUAGAACACCAAUUGCGAAGGCAGCUCGCUACGGGAUUAUUGACACUGAGGCACGAAAGCGUGGGGAUCAAACAGGAUUAGAUACCCCAGUAGUC
rnacentral:rRNA from 1 species